UCGCUUCCAUUUCUUCUGGCACCGUCAAAAUUUUGUUUAGAUUGAAGAAGUUUUGUUUAGGGUUUUCCCGUCGGCCAUACCAGAGUCAAAAUUUCUUCAAUGAAAACAAAAAUUUGAUCUCCAUUUCGCCAUGGAUUUCCAUACCUCGUCAAGGAGAGAACUCCGAAUAAGAUUCCGGCCAAUGUCACUAAUAUCGCCAUGGCCGACGCUCUUGCUGCUCGAUCUUCAAUCCGCUAAAGGAAUCGAGGGGUUUUUGUACGGUGAUAGAGCCUGAAUCGUUUUUUGAUUCUGUACUUCGUGUUGAAGGAAUCAAGGAGUUUUUGCACCUUGAUAGAUCUGGAAUACCUGAAUCGCCGAUAGAGGUUAUUUCCUCGGGAAUUCCACGAAUUGCAUCGAGAACUUCGAAAAGAAGAAAGGCCCCUCAAAGAUGAAGCAAUUACUACUCGAUCAUAUUGAGAACUUCAAAAAGAGAAAAGGCCCUCAAUCAUGAGGCGAUUACUACUUGAUCACGCCUAAGUGCAGCUUGAGUUUAGGGGGAGAUCUGAAAAUGGAACCAAUUACUGUCCACAUAUCGUUCAAUGAUAUGCCUAACAGUUCAGAACUCGUGAAGGAAAGUAAGGAAUUAGAAAAUGAAACCAAUUAUUGUUCAUAUGUCUAUUGGUGACAGGUCUAACAGUUCAGAACUCGUGAAGGAAAGUAAGGAAUUAGAAAAUGAAACCAAUUAUUGUUCAUAUGUCUAUUGGUGACAGGUCUAACAGUUCAGAACACGUGAAGGAAAAUAGCAUCAACUUCCUCUUUAGUGCAACUAAGUUCUGACCAAACCCACCUUCAAAUUUUCCCCCACAGCUCCAGACUCCAAAAUUUCACAGGAAGAAGAAGACACAGUAGGAGUAGCAGCAGAGAAAACAUGACCAUUCUCCUCUUGAGAUGGAACAAGAGAACCCCCAUUCUUAUCUCUUCCAUCAUGGAUUUUUCUGUGCUUAAUCACAAAAAUCUCCUUCUUCACAGGGUACUCACUUCUUUCUUCUUUUCUCUCACCAUUUUCCUCCCCUGUUUUGUUGCAGGUCUUGAGUUGCACAUCAGUGGUAGGAGGCUGACAAAUUGCAAUGAUGGGUUUGGUGCAGCCGUUGGAAGAGGUGGGAUCUGGAGGUGAAGGUACAGAGGUGGAAGAAAUUGAAGGUAAAGUCUUCUACUUUUUGCUCAAACAAGCACCCAUUAGAGAUAUUGAGAAAGACCCAACAAUGGAAAUUCUCUAAAGAAGUAGGAAGAAAGAAGAGAGUCUAGGAAAAACGAUGAAUUAGGAAGCAAAUUAGAUGAAGAAUUGAGUGUGUAAGUUGAUGAUGGAGAGAAGAAUAAGAUGGAGUCUGAAGCUACUCUCGGAGGAGCAGAAAUGGUUCUUGAUGAUCUGUUAAAAUUUAGUUACUGCAAAGAAGCACCACAUGCUAAUUUGGAUGUGAAAUGUUUCUCUGAAAUGAAAAGUAAAUGAGGCUUCCAAAGAGGUUGAUUCUGUGGAGAUUUCUGCUGAGGAAAUCAAAGUUUUCCAUUGUAAAAGACCUCACCAGCUUUCCCUCUCAGGGCUCCACAAUAACCAUUCCCCAAUUUGGGGGUCAAUAAUGCUAAAGAAUCCUCAUUGUCCUCCUUGGACAUCCAUCGUGACUAAACUGCUCCUAUGAAAGAGUGACCAUACAAGACUUAUUCAACUUCUCCUGCACUUAUUGAAGUGAUCGUACUAAUUGAUGGAAGAAGACUCAUGACUGAGAAACCUCAUUUUUCUGUCAUAUUCUGACCGUUCCAGUUGGUUUCGUACUGCCCGUGGGUUAACAUGUUAUAUAUAAAUUCAGGCUUUUCUCUUUUUAGUAGGUUCUGAAUAGACUUUAUACCUUUUAGUUAGUAGUAGGCUUCAAAUGAAAUAUGUUUUGAAUUUGACAUAAGACUGUAAGUUGUUUGGUCUUUUGUUUUUUCGUUUCUACGUAGGAUUUGAAACAUAACCAUGGAUACGAUAGGUAAUUUUCAUUGGAGGUCACAACUUCACUUAACAUGUUUUUAUUUUAGCA